rnacentral:lncRNA from 1 species
UAACUGACUGAGCCACUGAGCCACCCAGGUACCCCAGAACUUUUUUUUUUAACAUUUAUUUAUUUUUGAGACGCAGAGACAGAGCGUGAGCGGGGGAGGGGCAGAGAGAAAUAGGUUGACACAGAAUCCGAAGCAGGCUCCAGGCUCCGAGCUGUCAGCACAGAGCCCUAUGUGAGGCUCAAACCCACGAACCAUGAGAUCAUGACCUGAGCCAAAGUCGGACGCUUAACCAACUGAGCCACCCAGGCGCCCCUAAGAUGUUAGAACUUUUGACUGUGUCCCAUGUAUCUCUUCCACUCUGUCCUUUUUAAAAAUCUUUUUAUUCUUUCUGUGUUCCCUUUUGGAUAUUUUCUAUUGACCUGUUUCCCUCCAAUAAUUCUGUCUCUGCCAUACAGACUGUUUGUGUCCCCUCCCCAACUAUGAAAUCCUAACUUCAUAGUUUCUACUGAAAAGUCAGAUAUUAACGUUACUGCUCCUUUGAAAAUGAUGUGUCUUUGUUUUUAAGAGUUUUUUCUUUCUGGGCGCUAGGGUGGCUCAGUUGGUUGAGCACCUGGCUUUGGCUCAGGUCAUGAUCUCGCAGUUAGUGAGCCCAAGCCCUGUGUCCCAUUGGGCCCGGUGCUAGCAGCGCGGAGCCUGUCUGGGUUUCUUGCUCUCUCUCUCUCUCUCUCUCUCUCUCUCUGCCCCUCCCCGGCUUGUGCUCUAUCAGGUGUGAAUGAAUAAACUUAAAAAACUUAAAACUUAAAAAAAAAAUAAAAACAUUAAAGUGUUUUUCUUUCUCUUUGAUUUUCAUGAGGGUACACAGAGGUCUCAUGAAUGGGAACAGUGUCUUAGAAGAGACCCCAGAGAGCUCCCUAGCGCCUUUAUGCCGAGUGAGGUUUAUAGCAAGAAGAUGGGGCUGUCCGUGAACCAGGAAGUGGGCUCUCGCCAGGCACGAAAUCUGCCAGCACCUGGAUCCUGGACUCGCAGCCUCCAGAACUGUGAGAAAUAAAUUUCUAUUGUGUUAAGCCACCCAGUCUAUGGUACUGUGUUACAGCAGCCCAAACAGACUAAGGC